GGAGGCGGCGGCGGAGCGCACAUAGCGCCCGCGCUCGCUGCGCGGCCGUGGCGUGCACACGCGGGGCUCGGCACAGCCCCCGCUGCUCCCUUCCCGUACCCUCCGCCUCUGUCCCUACUAGUACCCGUGCCCGUGCCGCCGGGCGGAAAGUUCCGCGGGCAGCUGCCCGGCGCAGCACCCCGACACCUCCCCAGCCCCAUCUCCGCGCGGUCGGCGGGGCUCCGCGGUCGCCAAAGUUGCGGCGGGGCCGGGGGCGGCCGCGGCUGCCAGCCAUCAAGUGGCUCGUUAAGGAAAUGCAGUUCCUUCUGGGCCUGUGUGGACUAGGGGCACAAUCCGUCGCCUGACUGGCAGGAGGGGAAAGCGGAGACUCCUUCAGGUUUCCAAAGAGGUCCGAGCGGACAGCAUUAGGAAAACUUGAAGAGUCUUACACUUUUAAUCCUCCAGUCAUUGAUUGUGCUGUGAGGACACUGUGGUGAGGUGGUAAGUUGAUUUAGAUCUUUUAUGAUCAGUUAAAGUUCAAUUUCAGAUUUAAUUAAUAAAACACUAUCAUUAUAGAGUUUACACUGUCUGUUUAACAAAACUUGAGAAUUGUCUUCCUUGUUUUCUUGGCAAACCCCAAAAUUUUAAGUCUACAAUUAGCCUGUUGCGUAGGAAGUCCGAAUUGUAUCAGAUUUAAUCUAUAUUUACAAUUUCAACUUUAUAUCAUAUAAACAGCACAGUUGUUCACACAUACUCAGUACAUACAUUCCUGAAAUCCUAAGCUUCUAUAUGUCUGGAAAUUGGGUGAUAACUGUAAUUACUUAUGUAGAGCUUGCAUCCCUCAGCAAUGUUUGAUACUUUUAUCUUCACAGAUUCCACCCCAACCCAUC